AACGAACGCUGGCGGCAUGCCUAACACAUGCAAGUCGAACGGGAUCCAGGCUUCGGCCUGGUGAGAGUGGCGGACGGGUGAGUAACACGUGGGAACCUGCCUUUUUGGUUCGGGAUAACCGCGGGAAACUGCGGCUAAUACCGGAUGCUCCCGAGAGGGGAAAGAUUUAUCGCCAGAAGAGGGGCCCGCGUCCGAUUAGGUAGUUGGUGAGGUAAUGGCUCACCAAGCCGACGAUCGGUAGCUGGUCUGAGAGGAUGAUCAGCCACACUGGGACUGAGAUACGGCCCAGACUCCUACGGGAGGCAGCAGUGGGAAUAUUGGACAAUGGGGGCAACCCUGAUCCAGCAAUGCCGCGUGAGUGAUGAAGGCCUUAGGGUUGUAAAGCUCUUUUGCCAGGGAAGAUGAUGACUGUACCUGGAGAAUAAGCCCCGGCUAACUUCGUGCCAGCAGCCGCGGUAAU
rnacentral:rRNA from 1 species